rnacentral:rRNA from 1 species
AGAGGGUGAAACUCCCGUCCGCCUGGUAGAAUGAGUCUUUGUCAACGAGUCGAGUUGUUUGGGAUUGCAGCUCUAAUUUGGUGGUAAAUUCCAUCUAAAGCUAAAUAUUGGUGGGAGACCGAUAGCGUACAAGUACCGUGAGGGAAAGAUGCAAAGAACUUUGAAAAGAGAGUUAAAGAGUACCUGAAAUUGCUGAAACGGAAGCGAAGGAAACACGUGUUGUUUGGUUCGUAUAUUUCCUUCGGCCGACCUUGUUGGUUUGGGUCGGCUGUGAGCUUGUCGUGGGUUUGGGGUUGGUUGGUAUCCUUUCGGUAAGAGCGCAGUCAGAGUUG